UCAUCGGAUUCGCCAUCAUACGUCCAACCGUGCAUUUGAUAUGCAUAUAUAUGCAUCACGAGCCACGGUUGGGCUGUAUGAUGGCGAUACCGAUUGG
rnacentral:pre_miRNA from 1 species